AUGAGAGCUUUCACCUGGCAGAGAAAUGUCCAGUGUUUAAUGCAUUUGGUUGCCGGGGCGUGCAUGCCAAGCUUCUCUGAUAUUUACUUGGUUUUUAAAAACCCAUUUUGUUCUCUCUUGUUUCCUCUCUAUUUCAGCCUAGUAACAGAAGGCCAGGCGAGACUGCACCACUGCUCAUCACCCUGCGGCGUGAUCCCUGCUCUUAGGUGCUGGGCAGAGGGGAGGGGUGGUCAGGGUAAGGAUGGAGAGGGCGGAGUGGUGAGGGCUCAAGAGGAGAAUGGGAAGAGCAGCAGUGCUGUAGUGAAGCAACUUCUGUUCCAUGGAGUAGGAGCCUUAGUGGCUCAGCAAAUCAGGUUUACUGGAGUCCUGGGGCAGGUGGAGCAGGCUGGUCUCACUCCCCUCCCAACUUACCACUGAUGUGCCAGCCCGCCGGCUCUCGUGGGUAAGCUCUCGACAGCCACCCAGCAUAUGCCACAGCCCUACACUCUUGCCUUCCUCCACCCAUGUCGUGUGAAAGGACCCUUUUUAAUAAAUGAGCAAGUGUCCUAAGCGACCUUAUCCAAAGAUUGUCCUUUCCAUCCUCAAAUCCUGUGACUGGGAUCACUCAACAACACUGUGAUGUAUUAUUUUCAAUGAGGUGCCUUUCUUAACUGUCCAAAUGCUGCCUUGUUUGGCCCCUAAAUCAAUAAAGUGUGUUAAAUGUUUGUAUCCCCUGUUGUGGCAAUUUUUUAAGGGGAUGUGGGCCAGUAAAAUGACUGAAUUCUGGAUCUGACAUUGAAUUCUGGAUCUUGUGGUCACUGGAAGUCGUGAGAAGGCAGGAAGGUCCAAGCAUAUGUUCAUCAGAAGAGCCUGCACCCUCUUGACCUUCAGCUGAUUUGCAGGAUUUUCUUGAGCCCAAGGACAAGGCAGCUUGGUCUAGUGGAGACCAGCACUGUGCUUGGAGUUCAGGGGAUGUACGACAAAUCCCAGCCAAUCAUUUACUCUGCUCCUGUUUCCCAUGUGAAAAAGAGACCGGUGAUGCCACCUUCUCGGACUCAUUGGCAAUAAAUGAAAUUUACAAGAAGAAGCUUUUUGCUUGGUGCCUGACACACAACAGACACUGGAUAAAUGCUAGUUGGAACCGAGGAUACACAGAAAAAAUAUCUGCUUCUUGCCAGGCUGGAUGAUUAUUGAGCAGACAGUUGUCCGCAGCCUAGAAAGCCGGAGCUUCUAAUCCCUAAGCCAGAUUCUUGGCUGCCUUUUCAGCUGCCUCUUUAAUAUUCUUGGUUGCUUUGUAAAUCCAUUUCUUCCCCUGCAAAAAUGAGCUUAAAUCAUUUGUCCAAACUGAAGCUCUCAUGCUGUUUGGAAGGGCUGCCUUUGCUAGUGAGGUUUCUGAAAAAUGACAGCUGUCCUGAAAACAGAGGAAGCUGGGCUGGAAGCGCUGUCCUUCUCCAGGCAGGUGCUCUUGCCCUGGAGAGAGGCAGGGCUGUCCCUGGCAUAUGAAAUCUUGCCCCCUCUUCCAACUCCUCCCUCUUCUGUUCCACCACUUCCCCCACCUCUACAGAGUCAUUUUCAGGUGUCAGCAUGACUUAUUUGUCCUGACCUUUUCAUCCCCUGAGGUAUUUAAAUGCUCCAUGAAAAUUUUCUUCCCUUCCGUGAUCAUCGUGCAACAAACUGGGGGCAAUCUUUGUCAGAGCAGCCUGGGAGCACGCAUAGUAUGGUUGGAAAGGAUAAAUUGAAAGAAGACCGGGUGAGCUGUUAUUCACUCACUUCUUUGGGCUUGGUCUCCUCAUCUGGAAACCGAGAUUGGCUGAGGUAAGAGUCGCCACUGUGCAGGGAGGGCUGACAACGCCAGCUACUGCGCAGUGGCCUCACACCUACAACCCCACAAAGCACCCUAGGCAGUUGGAGGUGUCUUCUCCUAUCACACUCGAGGAAGCCUAGCCUCGGAGUGGUGGUCACAUUCCUGAGGGCAGCAUAAGAAGCAGAGUUGGAACUCAGUCUCUGACACCGGAGUCUCCCCUUGACCUUGUUGCUGAAGUGAUUGAGUGACUUGGCACUGCUGCAGCAGAAAGGGCUCCUCCGGAUGGGUUCUUUUUUGCGGACGCCCACACCCCCAGAGCUGAUUUGGGGGAAAUCAUUGCCAAUCUGAGGACCCAAGGUGUGUGCUUAGGAUUUCGUGUGCAUGAAAUGUCGCAGACAGGACAGAGCAGGGUGAAGAGCAGCCUUGGUCCUCAGGAAGCCUCGCCAGCCUUUUCUCAGAAAGACAGCUGAAUGAGUCAGAAGACAGAUUUCAGCAGCAACUCCUCCACCGCCAGCCCUCUGGCAAGUUACGGCACCUCAUCAGUUGAAUGGGAAUGAUCCCCACCCCUCAGAUGUGCUGACAACACUGGUGACCAAGACAUUCACGCGGGCCAGGAUGCCCGGCACACAGCAGGUGCUCAGUGUAUGCUGAUGGGGUUCAGAGAGAAAAUGUGUGUGUUGGCAAGAGCUGUUGUCUUCCUGACUCAGGAACCAGGCUAGGUUAAGGAUUCUUUUUUUUUUUUUUUUUUUUUAUUUAGGUAUACUUGAUUUACAUGUUGUGCCAGUCUCUGCUAUACAGCAAAGUGACUCAGUUAUACACAUAGAGACAUUCUUGUUUUAUAUCCUUUUCCAUUAUGGUUUAUCCCAGGAGACUGGAUGUAGUUUCCUGUGCUCUACAGUAGGACCUUGUUGUUUAUCCAUUCUAAAUGUAAUAGGUUGCAUCUACCAACCCCAAACUUCCAGUCCAUCCCUCUCCCUCUCCCCCCUCCCCCUCCCCCUUGGCAACCACAAGUCUGUUCUCUAUGUCUGCGAGUCUGUUUCUGUUUUGUAGAUAGGUUUAUUUGUGCCGUAUUUUAUUUUAUUUUUAUUUUUUAUUUUUGCAGUACACGGGCCUCUCACUGUUGUGGCCUCUCCCAUUGCGAGCACAGGCUCCGGACACGCAGGCUUAGCGGCCAUGGCUCACGGGCCCAGCCACUCUACGGCAUGUGGGAUCUUCCCGGGCCGGGGCACGACCCUGUGUCCCCUGCAUCGGCAGGCGGACUCCCAACCACUGCACCACCAGGGAAGCCCUAUUUAUUUUUUUUAAUUAAUUUAUUUACUUAUUUAUUUUUGGCUGUGUUGGGACUUUGUUGCCGCACGCAGGCUUUCUUUAGUUGCAGCAAGCGGGGGCUACUCUUCCUUGCGGUGCGCAGGCUUCUCAUUGCGGUGGCUUCUCUUGUUGCAGGGCCCGGGCUCUAGGCGCCCGGGCUUCAGUAGUUGCGGCAUGUGGGGUCAGUAGUUGUGGCUCACAGGCUCUAGAGCACAGGCUCAGUAGUUGUGACCCAUGGGCUUAGUUGCUCCGCGGCAUGUGGGAUCUUCCCAGACCAGGGCUGGAACCCGUGUCCCCUGCAUUGGCAGGCAGAUUCUUAACCACUGCACCACCAGGGAAGUCCCCUGUGC
rnacentral:lncRNA from 1 species